AUCGGCCAAUCGCCUUGAGUUUGAUCAUGGCUCAGGACGAACGCUGACGGCGUGCUUUAGACAUGCAAGUCGAACGAGAAAGCCCUUCGGGGUGAGUACAGUGGCGAACGGGUGAGUAACACGUGGGUAAUCUGCCCCUCGCAGGGGGAUAACCGGGGGAAACUCCGGCUAAUACCCCGUACGCUUGCUGGAUCGCGUGAUCCGGCAAGGAAAGGUAGCUUCGGCCAUCCGGCGAGGGAUGAGCCCGCGGUGCAUUAGCUAGUUGGUGGGGUAACGGCCCACCAAGGCGACGAUGCAUAGCUGGUCUGAGAGGAUGAUCAGCCACACUGGGACUGAGACACGGCCCAGACUCCUACGGGAGGCAGCAGUCGGGAAUCUUGCGCAAUGGGCGAAAGCCUGACGCAGCAACGCCGUGUGGGCGACGAAGGCCUUCGGGUCGUAAAGCCCUGUUGUUGGGGACGAAGGGCGAAGGGUUAAUAGCCCCUAGCCUGACGGUACCCUUCGAGGAAGCCCCGGCUAACUACGUGCCAGCAGCCGCGGUAAUACGUAGGGGGCGAGCGUUGUCCGGAAUUAUUGGGCGUAAAGAGCGUGUAGGCGGUUCGGUAAGUCCGCCGUGAAAACCUGGGGCUCAACCCUGGGCGUGCGGUGGAUACUGCUGGGCUAGAGGAUGGUAGAGGCGAGUGGAAUUCCCGGUGUAGCGGUGAAAUGCGCAGAUAUCGGGAGGAACACCAGUAGCGAAGGCGGCUCGCUGGGGCAU
rnacentral:rRNA from 1 species